UUUAUUGCAGCUGCUUGGCAAGGUACUGCACAUGAUAGUAGAGUGCUUGAGAAUGUGAUUGUUGAUCCAGAGGUAAGAGUUUCGUUUUCACCACAUGGUAUAUUACUUGAAAUGCAUUAUAUUACAUUUAUUUUGUUUUUAUAGAUAAAAUACUAUGUUGUUGACACUGGUCUAUGGAGCACGAAAGGGUUUUUACCUCCAUAUAAAAGAAUGUGAUAUCAUUUGCAAGACAACAGGGAGUGAAAGAGAGCCUCAAAACGAUAAGAGUGGAUCAACUAUAGGCAUUUAUCUCUAUGCAUUGUAAUUGAAAGAAAAUUUGGAUCAUGGAAUAUUUAGAUUUAGAAUAUUACUACAAGGCAAACACUUAUGAUGUAGGCACACACGUUAGGAUUGUAAUUGCGUGUGUUGUGUUGCACAAAUUUUUGCGGGAACACCAAAGCCACUGAUGGAUUUUUUCAUCAUGAUAUAGUUGUUGAUGGCACCAACAAACAUCUGACGGGGCUUAACAUUGUUGUUUCGUCUUCUCAGGCAGUUGAUCAAGAAAUGCGUGCUUGACGAAAAGAGAUUGUUCAGAGUGUGGGAAAAUUAUAUUUAAGUAU
rnacentral:lncRNA from 1 species